rnacentral:lncRNA from 14 species
GCUUGGAGUACCAGUGCUAGUGUGCCGGAUUGUUGACCAGAUGCCUAUUAACAUCUCCGUCAAGCCAAGGAAGAUAAUACACCUUUCCCUGCUUUCAUGUAUGCAACCACUGGAUGAGGUGCUCAAAGCAAAGUCCUGAGGAAUGACCUGAGUGAGGGUAAAAAGAGCUCUAACUGAGAGAAGAGGACAGAACUACUGCUGGACUUGGAGAAAUCAAGGUCAGUUCCUGUGGAUUGGGAUCACACACCAGGGAGAGCAGCGGCUGGGAGUUGGCUAAGGUUUCCACUGCUGGAUAUGUAUUUCAAACUGCUGUAAAAUCAAUCUGCACUCAACUAUUUCAUGCUGAUAAACAUCCCAAGGAAUGCCACUGAAUGAAAUAAUUUGGGAUACAACAUGGCGUAACAGUACACAAUUACUCUGCUGAAAUUAUUUCAGUUUUACAUCCACUUAUGAAACUACAACAGAAAUCUGUCUACUGGUGUCCAUAUGUCUGCAACAGGGAAUCUGGCCAGCUCACAGAAACUGCCUCUCCUCCAAGAGCUGCAUACUGAGGCAAAUUCCCAGCUUAUUGAAAAAUAGUUUUGUUAUUUUGCCAUCUUGUUUGUUCUGCAAUUUCCCUCUUCUUUUUUUUCCUUUUUUUCUUUUUUUUUCCCCCCUUUAUUUAUUUAUUUUUAUUUUGCCUCUGGCUUU